GGGCUUUUGGUUUCGCGACGAUGCUGAAGAGAAAGGAUUCGAUGGCGAGGAACGAGGGCGAGAAGAUGGAGAUUAUGCCUCUGGGAGCUGGAAGCGAGGUCGGCCGAUCGUGCUGCCACAUGACUUACAAGGGAAAGACGAUUCUGUUCGACUGUGGAAUCCAUCCCGGGUACACUGGAAUGGCCGCGUUGCCGUAUUUCGAUGAGAUUGAUCCGUCGACAAUCGACGUGCUGUUAGUAACUCACUUUCAUCUCGAUCACGCGGCCUCGCUUCCAUAUUUUCUGGAGAAGACCACAUUCAAAGGCCGAGUGUUCAUGACACACGCAACCAAAGCCAUUUACAAGCUUUUGCUCACGGACUAUGUCAAGAUCAGCAAAGGGUCUGUCGAAGACAUGCUGUAUGACGAGCAAGACGUGCUGAAAACCAUGGACAAGAUCGAGGUUAUAGACUUUCACCAAACUAUGGAGGUGAAUGGGAUACGCUUCUGGUGCUACACCGCGGGACAUGUCCUCGGGGCAGCGAUGUUCAUGGUGGAUAUAGCCGGUAUCCGGGUCUUAUACACAGGAGACUACUCCAGAGAAGAGGAUCGCCACCUCAAAGCCGCGGAAAUGCCAGAGUUUUCUCCAGACGUCUGCAUCAUAGAGUCGACUUAUGGCGUUCAGAUUCAUCAGCCGCGACACGUCCGGGAGAAGAGGUUUACGGAGACUAUAGCGCAAACCGUGUCUCACGGAGGCAGAGUUCUCAUUCCGGCUUUCGCUCUAGGACGAGCACAGGAGCUUCUGUUGAUUCUGGACGAGUACUGGGAGGCUCACCCGGAGCUGCAACACAUCCCGAUAUACUAUGCUUCGCCGCUAGCCAAGAAGUGCAUGGCAGUCUAUCAGACUUACAUCAAUUCCAUGAACGACAAGAUCAAGUCUCAGUACGAGAACUCGAAUCCCUUCAACUUCAAGCAUAUCUCUCCUCUCAAGAGCAUCGAGCAGUUCGAAGAUGUCGGGCCUUCGAUUGUUAUGGCUAGUCCAAGCGGUUUGCAGAGCGGGCUCUCUCGUCAGCUAUUCGACCGCUGGUGUCAGGACAGGAAGAACGCUUGCGUGAUACCGGGUUACGUUGUGGAAGGGACACUUGCAAAGACUAUACUCAACGAGCCGAAGGAAGUUGCCCUCGUCAGUGGCCUCGUAGUUCCGCUCAACAUGAGGGUGGUGUACAUCUCUUUUUCGGCACACGCGGACUUUGCUCAGACCAGCGCCUUCUUAGGGGAACUAAGGCCUCCGCACAUUGUUCUCGUUCAUGGAGAGCAGAACGAGAUGGGCCGUCUAAAGGUCAAGUUACAGGCGCAGUUUGCAGAACAAAACGUCAAGAUAAACUCGCCAAAGAACUGCCAACCCGUGGAGUUUUUUUUCAAAGGAGAGAAAGUUGCAAAGGCUGUUGGUAGGCUGGCGGAGAAAACACCAGACGAGGGGGGCGCAGUGAGCGGCCUGCUGAUCAAGAAGAGCUUCACGUACCAGCUGAUGGCUCCGGACGACCUUCAUGUUUACACACAGCUUUCCAGGGGCAGCAUCCAGCAGAGGCUCUCAGUCCCAUACGACGGCGCAUUUGUUGUGCUGCGACACAGGAUUGAGCAGAUGUACGACGGCGUGGAACACGUUACAAAGGCCGAGAGCCAGACACUGAGGAUCCAUGACAAGGUGACGAUUUCUCAGGAGUCAAACGAGCAUGUGGUCCUCCAGUGGGUGUCCGAUCCAGUGAGCGACAUGAUAGCGGAUUCAAUAAUUGCGAUCAUCACGAAGAUGGAUCCUCGCUUGCUGACGGACGCCAAUGGUCUGCCGAAGAUUGAGGAGGAUCUUACGGUUGUCCAGUCGCUGCUCACGUCUUUGUUUGGAGACGUCAAAGUAGACGAGGAAGGGAAGAAGCUCGUGAUUUCUGUGGACGGAGUUGCUGCCACUGUGGACUACACCAGCCGCAGCGUCGAGUGUGACGAUGACAAUCUCAAAGAACGCAUCAAAUCUGCUCUUCACAGAAUGCAUAAUGUUCUACACCCUCUGGCGAUUGAAAGCUGAUCCAACACACCUGGUCCUUCAUGUGCUCGGUACGUUUUGUGAUCAUCAUCGCAGUAACAAAAUCCAUGACUUUUAAGCCUGGAGUUUUGCGCCCGACCCGACUUGCCGACUUUUUAAGAUCUGGCAUGGUAUCGUUUCUUACUCAACCGGCACCUUUCACCAUCUGUGCAAGAUCAUAAGCUCGUCGUUGCUGACCUGUGUUGAUGUUCUCGACAAGUGUUUUUUAUAUUCGAAGAGGUGGGGAAUUAUGCUUACAACCACAAACGACUGCCGCUGCACUGGUGUUUCACACUACUCCAGAUUAAAAGAUAAAAAAAAACGAAGGAAAAGCGCAGUGUUGGCGCGUUGGUUUCCACCACCAUCGCAUGGACUGCGGACUGGAAACUCUCGUGAAGCCCAUGAAGUGGAAUCCGACGGCAUUCAGGCGUCGUCUAGUGGAGUUACAGGUAACUUUCUUCCCACCUAGCAAUGUUCCAGCAGAUGUUUCGCUUUUGGAUCCUCCGAUUUGGGGCCCCGGAAUGGAGGAGUGCGUUCCGGGACGCGGUCAGAGCGAUAUCCGGAAGACUGGACGGACUGCAUUUCUUUUCCACAGGAAAGAAAUCGUAGCGAGCACAGCACAAGAGGUUCUCUCUAUAAUGGUAGAGAUGCCAGAAGCUGCAGAGGGACUGCCAGGAGGUAUAAUUUUUGGAGCAGUGGCGCUGUGGCAGUAGCUCACAGGGCGGGCCAAGCCAACAAGGAAAGCGUCUGUGUUGGAAAUGACGCUGAAAGGAUUGGAUUUAUUCCUUCGUGCUCGAGCACAUGGAUGAAAGAGGUCGACUGGUAUGGAAAAAAGAAGAUGGGAUCGAUCUGGAAGUUUGGGAGAGAGGAUAAAAAGAUAUCAUACUACUUCAGAGUACAUUAUAGUUACGUCCAAAGAUAUUCUUCCAUUCCAGACAGACAAAGAAUUGCUUGGAGAGGGAUCCUUUGGGAAAGAUUCGAACCGGCGACCUUGGCGCUAGCAAUCAUGGGAUCUCCAUAAUCUCCGACAGUAAUUAGCAGCAGUUGUUUGCUCUAAUUGCCCACGCUAACGGGCAGGGUAGUGAAAGUUUUGGAUUGGUCCGGUCAA